AGUGGGGGAUAACGUAGCGAAAGUUACGCUAAUACCGCAUAUGCCCUGAGGGGGAAAGGUGGGGAUCGCAAGACCUAUCGCUUUCGGAGUGGCCGAUAUCAGAUUAGCUAGUUGGUGGGGUAAAGGCCUACCAAGGCGACGAUCUGUAGCUGGUCUGAGAGGACGACCAGCCACACUGGGACUGAGACACGGCCCAGACUCCUACGGGAGGCAGCAGUGGGGAAUUUUGGACAAUGGGCGCAAGCCUGAUCCAGCCAUGCCGCGUGAGUGAAGAAGGCCUUCGGGUUGUAAAGCUCUUUCAGCCGGAAAGAAAUCGUGCAGGCUAAUAUCCUGCAUGGAUGACGGUACCGGAAGAAGAAGCACCGGCUAACUACGUGCCAGCAGCCGCGGUAAUACGUAGGGUGCGAGCGUUAAUCGGAAUUACUGGGCGUAAAGCGUGCGCAGGCGGUUUUGUAAGACAGACGUGAAAUCCCCGGGCUUAACCUGGGAACUGCGUUUGUGACUGCAAGGCUAGAGUGCGGCAGAGGGGGGUAGAAUUCCA
rnacentral:rRNA from 1 species